CAGCCGCCACGGUAAUACGUAGGGUGCGAGCGUUAAUCGGAAUUACUGGGCGUAAAGCGUGCGCAGGCGGUUGUGUAAGACAGGUGUGAAAUCCCCGGGCUUAACCUGGGAACUGCGCUUGUGACUGCACAGCUAGAGUAUGGCAGAGGGGGGUGGAACUCCACGUGUAGCAGUGAAAUGCGUAGAGAUGUGGAGGAACACCGAUGGCGAAGGCAGCCCCCUGGGCCAAUACUGACGCUCAUGCACGAAAGCGUGGGGAGCAAACAGGAUUAGAUACCCCUGUAGUCCCUGUCUCUUAUAC
rnacentral:rRNA from 1 species